UGUGACCUCAAAUCAGGUAGGACUACCCGCUGAACUUAAGCAUAUCAAUAAGCGGAGGAAAAGAAACUAACAAGGAUUCCCCUAGUAACUGCGAGUGAAGCGGGAAAAGCUCAAAUUUAAAAUCUGGCAGUCUCUUGGCUGUCCGAGUUGUAAUCUAGAGAAGUGUUAUCCGCGCUGGACCGUGUACAAGUCUCCUGGAAUGGAGCAUCAUAGAGGGUGAGAAUCCCGUCUUUGACAUGGACUACCAGGGCUUUGUGAUGCGCUCUCAAAGAGUCGAGUUGUUUGGGAAUGCAGCUCAAAAUGGGUGGUAAAUUCCAUCUAAAGCUAAAUAUUGGCGAGAGACCGAUAGCGAACAAGUACCGUGAGGGAAAGAUGAAAAGAACUUUGGAAAGAGAGUUAAACAGUACGUGAAAUUGCUGAAAGGGAAACGCUUGAAGUCAGUCGCAUCAUCCAGGGAUCAACCUUGCUUUUGCUUGGUGCACUUCCUGGUUUGAUGGGUCAGCAUCAAUUUUGGCUAUUGGAAAAAGGUUAAGGGAAUGUGGCAUCUUUGGAUGUGUUAUAGCCCUUGGUCACAUACAAUGGUUGGGAUUGAGGAACUCAGCACGCCGCAAGGCCGGGUUAUAAACCACGUACGUGCUUAGGAUGCUGGCAAUAUGGCUUUAAUCGACCCGUCUUGAAACACGGACCAAGGAGUCUAACAUGCCUGCGAGUGUUUGGGUGGAAAACCCGAGCGCGUAAUGAAAGUGAAAAGUUGAGAUCCCUGUCGUGGGGAGCAUCGACGCCCGGACCAGAUCUUUUGUGACGGUUCCGCGGUAGAGCAUGUAUGUUGGGACCCGAAAGAUGGUGAACUAUGCCUGAAUAGGGUGAAUCCAGAGGAAACUCUGGUGGAGGCUCGUAGCGAUUCUGACGUGCAAAUCGAUCGUCAAAUUUGGGUAUAGGGGCGAAAGACUAAUCGAAC
rnacentral:rRNA from 1 species